AAGCUAAGGAACUGCUUUGAGUUCUGCCUUUUUGAAUUGCUUCCUUAUUUCAAUGAAUAACUUACAUAUUUAUACAAGGUUCGGUUGCUAAAAUUAACUAAACUAAAAUAGUAAAUUAUUUUAAGCCAUAAAGAAUGAAUGGCCUAAAAUCUUACUUAAUUUGAACCAUUAACUUUUUAUGGUUUAUAACAAUUCGUUAUAAACCAUUAGUUUUUAUGGUUUUAAAUAACUUAAUAAUAUAAUAUAAUAUAAUAAACUAUAAUUAUAUUAUAUUAUGUUUAUUUUUGUUGGUAGAUCCUCCUGGAUCAUGGCUCCCCCAUCUAAGAUGCUUGAGCUCCUGGUCAAGCUACAUUGAGAUGAGGAAACUCUAGUAUUGCCUUGUCUCGAAUAUACCAUUUCGAUUUGCUGGGAAGUUGCCCUUUACUACCAAUACGAAAAUACUCAUACUUUCCAUGUCGAGUCUCACGAACCUUUUGUUCCAAUAUGGAUGAAAUGCAGUACUUCUUUUCAAUCUAGUAUCCAUCAUUUCCCAUAAAGACCUCCAGAAAUGGCCUAAGAAUCGACUGUCUCUAUCAGAAAUAAUCGAUGUAGGUAAGCCAAAAUACUUCCAAACAUGUUGGAAAAAUAACUUAGCAGCUCCUUCUCCAGUAACGGUCUUCUUGCAUGGAAUGAGAAUCACCAUCUUACUGAAACGAUCUACCACCACAAACAAGUAGUCAUUUCCAGACUUGGUUUUAGGCAAUCCACCUAAGAAAUCCAUCGAGAUACUCUCCCAAGGUCGGCUAGGUACUGGCAAUGGAAGAUACAGUCCUAACUUUCUAUUGGAAGGCUUUGAUGUGUUGCAUAGAACACAACCUCGAAUGUAUCGUGAAACAUUGAGAUGCAUCUUUGGCCAAUACACAUAGCGACGAAGAUUCAAUAAAGUCUUCUCAACUCCAAAAUGUCCUGCUACUUUGGAAGUAUGAGCCUCACGAAUCCACUGCAAUCUGUCGCCAUCUUCUGGAAUGCACAAUUGUGUUCCCUUGUACAUUAGUCCAUCCUUCAAUUGGAACUCACUAGUCUUUCCUUGUUGUAGCUUGGCAUAUGCUGAGUUGAAAUCAGUAUCUGUGUCAUACCCUUUGGCAUAUUCAGAAGGAACAAUGGGUUGGAUUUGCAUAGCCACCAGCAAUGUGGAACUAACUGGUGUAGGUGGUCUAGAUAACAUAUCUGCCAACUUAUUAGUUGUUCCUUUCUUGUACUUUAUCACAAUAUUGAAUUGUUGUAGGUAAGACAUCCAUUUCAUAUGGCGAGCAUGCUGCAACUUAGACUGUGUAGUUAAAAAUUGAAGAGGUUUAUGAUCUGAGUGAACUACAACUUUUUUUCCCAACAAGUAAGCUCUCCAAUGCUUCACUGCUUGAUGCAUUGCAUACAGCUCCUUGUCAUAAGUUGGAUAAUUCAAUACCGGUCCACUAAACAUCUCAGAAUGGUAUGCAACUGGUUUCCCAUCCUGAAAUAAUACGGCUCCCAUUGCAUAGUUUGAUGCAUCUGCUUCUACGUCAAAUGGUUUCUGCAGAUUCGGUAAUGCUAGUACUGGGGCCUCUGUAAUCUUUCGUUUCAACAAUUGGAAAGAUUCUUCAUGGUUUCUCGACCAUUCAAACUUUUGAUUGGCUUUUGUAAGUGAAUGUAAGGGUGCUGCAAUUUGUGAAAAGUGCCGAAUAAACUUUCGCAAAUAUUGACAUGCACCUAUAAAGCUCCGAACUUCAAUCACUGAACGGGGUGUAGGCCAUUGAGAAAUCACAUGUACUUUCUCUAGGUCCAUUUUCAGUUCUCCUGCACCAACAAUGAAUCCCAGGUAUACGAGGUGUUGUUUCCCAAAUUCACACUUCUUACCAUUUAAUUAUAAUUGAUUUGUUCGUAGAACCUCCAAAACUUGAGCAAUAUGAUGAAGAUGGUCCUCCCAUGUGACACUAAAAAUGAGAAUGUCAUCUAAGUAUACAAUGACGAAGUCGUCAAUGAAAGGGCGGAGUACCUCAUUCAUCAAUCGCAUGAAGGUAGCUGGAGCAUUACAUAACCCGAAUGGCAUGACUAACCACUCGAAGAGUCCCUGCUUUGUUUUGAAUGCAGUCUUCCAAGUAUCUUCUUCAUGUAUGCGGACUUGGUGAUAGCCAGAUUUGAGAUCAAGCUUAGUGAAGUAGUGUGCACCAUGUAGUUGAUCUAGUAGGUCAUCAAUCCUCGACAAUGGAUACCGAUUCUUAAUGGUUAUUUUGUUGAGUGCCCUAUAAUCAACACACAUACGCCAGCCUCCGUCUUUCUUAGGCACAAGUAACACUGGCGAACCACAUGGGGAGCAGCUAGGUUUGAUGAUUCCUUGUUCAAGAAGUCCCUGAAUUUGCUUUUUGAUCUCGUCAGAUUCCAUCAAAGAAGUACGAUACAGACCUAAGUUUGGUAGAGGUGAAUCUCCUACCAACUGGAUCUCAUGCUCUAUAGCUCUCUGUGGUGGCAAACCUUGCACAUCAUGAAAUAAGUCCUUGAACUUCUCCUGCAAUUUUCCUAUGUCUGAGCAUUGCGUAGGAGAUAAAGACAAUGUAGACAAUGUCACAGCUCCAGAACUUUGAUCUUGUGGUCGAAUCAUCAACAAAACAAAUCGCCCACAUGAAUUGACUAACCUCUUGGCUUGGUUAGCUGUCAGCAAAUUAUCUGUAAGCAAAUUAUUUGUAGCUUGAGGCUUGCAAGCGUUGAUGUGGAACUCCUUCCCAUCCUUCACAAGUCGAUACUUGCGAAGCCUCCGAUAGUGGAUGGCAUCUCGGUCCCAUAAAUAUGGACUGCCUAAUAUGACUUGGCAAACAUCCAAAGGAACCACCUCACAUGUCACCUCAUCGAUAUAUCAAUUGGUGAUAGCAAAUUUGAAGGUACAUUGCUUCGUGAUCUGUAAGUCAACAUCUUUCUGAAUCCAUCCUAGCGGGUACGGCUUAGGAUGUGGUGUGGUUUCUAAACCCACUUUUCUUACUAAAGCCUCUGAAAUCAGGUUUUUCUGACUUCCAGGGUCAAUGAUAGCUUGUACAACACUUUGCUUCACCUGAAUAUUCACAUGAAACAACUCUUCACGGUUGUAUGUGUCUUCAAUAUCUGCUGGUCUUGUCAUAAGGGUAAGUGUAACAUCAGGUUGCUUCAAUUCUGGAAGCUCUUCUGCUUGUUGUAUAGUUAAGGUGGCUUUUCUGUCAUUUCUCCCCUGGUUGUUUUUCUCGCGCUUUGGCCGUAACUCAGGAUGGAGUAUCCAGCACUUGUCUUUGGCAUGUCUACUGGUUUGACAGUGAUCACAGUAUACCUUCUGUGUCUGACCUUCCUUGCUCUGCUUCCCCUUUUUCUGCCAGUCAGUUUUGUUGACAAGUUUUGAUCUGUCAUCCUUCUUGUCAGUUCUUUUAUUUUUCGCCUCAAUGGCGAUGGCCUUCAUAGUAGCUUCUUCAAUGGUGUCUACGGUGAACAAUUUUAGUUCUUUCCGUAUGUAGUCGGCAAGACCUCCGGUAUACUUCAUGAAAACGUCGUAGUCAUCGACGUCAAUGUCUAGAACCAUAGCUUGGUUGUGAAACUCUGUUGUAUACUCUUGUACAUGUUGUCCAAAUCUUUGUCUGAAGUGUUGCCAUUUAUACCAUCUUUCAUCUUCAUAGCCAACUGGAUAAAAUUGUUUUCUCAAAAGCUUCUUGAAGUUCUUCCAAGUCAAUUUUGAGACAUCAUACCGUCUCUGAUAGGACUUCCACCAUGUAAGGGCAUGGCUUGAAAGUUUCAAACUCGCAAAUUUUAUUUUUUGCACAUUAGAAUACUUAUAAACUGUGAAAUAAGUUUCUAAUGUGUCUACCCAGUUAUCUAGCUUUUCAGGAUCAACAUCUCCUUUAUAUAUAGGGAUGUCAACCUUAAAAUCAAUCUUUAAGGUAUCAAUAGAAUUUUUAUUGUCACCUGAUUCAGCUUCCUUUUUCGUUGGAUCAGCUUUUAUGUCGUCUUCAUCUUUGCUAUCCUCAACAACCUUUUUCUUGAGCUUUUGAUCAGGCUCGGAUGAAGUUGAUGGACGUGAAGAUUUUCCAGUUUUCAAACUCUCCACGAGUUUAAGGAUUGAUGCAGACAAGUUUUCAACUUGUUGCUCAAGUUUAGUGAUGCGAUCGCCAUCAUUAGAUGUAUCUUGUUUGUUUUCUCCAGUCAUAUUGCCUCUCUUGGACCUUGGCUUUCGGUGUACGAGCAAAGGACCCAAAAGUUCUUCUCCAGAAGCUUUGCGUUGGUUGCGAGUUGAGACCAUAAACCACCGUCACCCACUCGGAUCUGGUGCUCUGAUACCACUUGAUCCAAAACUUCUAGUCGAUAGAACUAUGAAUUCCUAGUUUAUAGGAAUAAGGGAACGAAAGGAAUUUUAAGACAAUUAGAGAAACAAAAGGAAGAAGCUAAGGAACUGCUUUGAGUUCUGCCUUUUAGAAUUGCUUCCUUAUUUCAAUGAAUAACUUACAUAUUUAUACAAGGUUCGGUUGCUAAAAUUAACUAAACUAAAAUAGUAAAUUAUUUUAAGCCAUAAAGAAUGAAUGGCCUAAAAUCUUACUUAAUUUGAACCAUUAACUUUUUAUGGUUUAUAACAAUUCGUUAUAA
rnacentral:lncRNA from 1 species